GAUGAACGCUAGCGGGAGGCUUAACACAUGCAAGUCGAGGGGCAUCACGGGUAGCAAUACCUGGUGGCGACCGGCAGACGGGUGAGUAACGCGUAUGUAACCUACCCUGUACAGGGGGAUAACCCGGAGAAAUUCGGACUAAUAUCCCAUAAUGAUAUCUGGGGGCAUCUUCGGAUAUUUAAAGUUCCGGCGGUACAGGAUGGGCAUGCGUAACAUUAGCUAGUUGGUAAGGUAACGGCUUACCAAGGCUUUGAUGUUUAGGGGUCCUGAGAGGGUGGUCCCCCACACUGGUACUGAGACACGGACCAGACUCCUACGGGAGGCAGCAGUGAGGAAUAUUGGUCAAUGGGCGCAAGCCUGAACCAGCCAUCCCGCGUGCAGGAAGACGGCCCUAUGGGUUGUAAACUGCUUUUCCAGGGAGAGAAACUUGCGUACGCGUUGCGCAAUUGACGGUACCCUGGGAAUAAGCAUCGGCUAACUCCGUGCCAGCAGCCGCGGUAACUAGUCUACG
rnacentral:rRNA from 1 species